rnacentral:rRNA from 1 species
CAGUCGCCACGGUAAUACGAAGGGUGCAAGCGUUACUCGGAAUUACUGGGCGUAAAGCGCGCGUAGGUGGUGGUUUAAGUCCGUUGUGAAAGCCCUGGGCUCAACCUGGGAAUUGCAGUGGAUACUGGGUCACUAGAGUGUGGUAGAGGAUAGUGGAAUUUCCGGUGUAGCAGUGAAAUGCGUAGAGAUCGGAAGGAACAUCUGUGGCGAAGGCGACUAUCUGGGCCAACACUGACACUGAGGCACGAAAGCGUGGGGAGCAAACAGGAUUAGAUACCCCUGUAGUCCCUGUCUCUUAUAC